GCGGAGUUUUGAAAUUUGUCAUGAACUGCUAUAUUUAUAUAUGAUGAUAUCAAGGAUGCUGCAGCAGAUAUGCACCAGGAUGCGGAACGCUGACAAUAACAUAAGGACCGUCGUACAACAGACGUCACUUCGCGUUGCGCCGCUGAAGAGCACACGACUUAUGUUGAAUCCAACAUGAGGACUUCUGAAAUUCCCACCGACGACCACUGAUCCGGCUGCAAGGGAUCCGUCCACCAGAUGCAGCGGUUAGAGGGAGCGUCCUAUGUGCAUACGAAAAUGAUUUCUUAAAGAAAAAAGUUUAAGGAAUA